AUUGAACGCUGGCGGCAGGCCUAACACAUGCAAGUCGAGCGGAGCGGCGGACGGGUGAGUAAUGCCUAGGAAUCUGCCUGGUAGUGGGGGAUAACGUCCGGAAACGGGCGCUAAUACCGCAUACUAUCAGAUGAGCCUAGGUCGGAUUAGCUAGUUGGUGGGGUAAAGGCCUACCAAGGCGACGAUCAGUAACUGGUCUGAGAGGAUGAUCAGUCAACCUGGAACUGAGACACGGUCCAGACCCCCACGGGAGGCAGCAGUGGGGAAUAUUGGACAAUGGGCGAAAUCCUGAUCCAGCCAUGCCGCGUGUGUGAAGAAGGCCUUCGGGGUGUAAAGUACGUUCAGUGGGGAGGCGUUACCCGCAGAAGAAGCACCGGCUAACUCCGUGCCAGCAGCCGCGGUAAUUC
rnacentral:rRNA from 1 species